rnacentral:rRNA from 1 species
GACGAACGCUGNGCGGCGUGCCUAAUACAUGCAAGUCGAACGAGAGCGACGGUGCUUGCACUGGUCAAUCUAGUGGCGAACGGGUGAGUAACACGUGGGUAACCUGCCCAUCAGAGGGGGAUAACAUUCGGAAACGGAUGCUAAAACCGCAUAGGUUCUACAGUCGCAUGACUGAAGAAGGAAAAGAGGCUUCGGCUUCUGCUGAUGGAUGGACCCGCGGUGCAUUAGCUAGUUGGUGAGGUAACGGCUCACCAAGGCCGUGAUGCAUAGCCGACCUGAGAGGGUGAUCGGCCACAUUGGGACUGAGACACGGCCCAAACUCCUACGGGAGGCAGCAGUAGGGAAUCUUCCGCAAUGGACGCAAGUCUGACGGAGCAACGCCGCGUGAGUGAAGAAGGAUUUCGGUUCGUAAAACUCUGUUGUUAGAGAAGAACAGCGCAUAGAGUAACUGUUAUGCGUGUGACGGUAUCUAACCAGAAAGCCACGGCUAACUACGUGCCA